AUUUAGAAAGGCAAGGUUUGCUCGGAUCUCAAUUUGUAGCUUUAACAGGAUAACUGCAAUAAUGCCAAAUUUUAACAGCGUAAAGAUCUGUGAGUUCUGAAGAAGUCAUAUCAGGCUGAAAACAUCAGCUGUUUUUCUCUCUCUCAGACUGGGACGUGGGCAUCAGUGGCUAGGCCAGCAUUUACUAUCCAUCCAUAAAUCUCCCUGAAGGCAGUUAAAUAUCAACCACAUUGCUAUGGGUCUGAAGACACAUGUA